UUUUAUUCGGAAAAUUCUUGCAAUUAUUAUCAAGAAUGAAGAGAAAAGUGGAAUACGAAAUAACAAAAUGAUAAAGACGGAGUGAAACAUGAAGAGAAUUUAUAUAACAUGGAACCUGUGAACGAAUAAAAUACAUUAAAAAUAAUUAUUACAUGCCUGCGAUGCUAAGGAGAGAAGAAUAAUCCUCGGCUGGUCCUCUUCUGGUCCUCAGCUGGUCCUAUUCUGGUCCUCCACCUAUUGAACCUGCAACAAAAAAAAAACAAAAGGGAAUGGAAGAAGGAGAAAAGCGGGCCUUGAAACGAACCUGAAAAAGAAGAAAAUACGAUUAUUUUAGAUUUGCAAAGAUUCAACGAAUGAUCCAUGGUACCUGUAAAAACAUGGAAAUGCAUUAACAGUGAUUUUUGUCGCAUCAAUAUAAAACGAGGAAUGCAUCUGAAAAGAAUUUAAAUAAUCAUUUUCAAUCUACAUAAAAUAAAGAAAAAUAAUACAAAAAGUAUGCAAUAACGGGUUGUUCCAUGGAACCUACGAACACGGAAAAUACAUUAAAAAUAAUUAUAACACGUGUACGAUGCUACGGGGAGAACAAUAAACACAGAUCAAAAUUA
rnacentral:lncRNA from 1 species